AUACGGAGGGUGCAAGCGUUGUUCGGAAUUACUGGGCGUAAAGCGCGCGUAGGCGGUCUGUUAUGUCAGAUGUGAAAGUCCUCGGCUCAACCGGGGAAGUGCAUUUGAAACUGGCAGACUUGAGUACUGGAGGGGGUGGUGGAAUUCCCGGUGUAGAGGUGAAAUUCGUAGAUAUCGGGAGGAAUACCGGUGGCGAAGGCGACCACCUGGCCAGAUACUGACGCUGAGGUGCGAAAGCGUGGGGAGCAAACAGGAGUAGAAACCCGGGUAGUCC
rnacentral:rRNA from 1 species